rnacentral:lncRNA from 1 species
GGUUUCCGCCCAGUCUCUGGGGACGCGGUGGCGGGGUCUGAAUCGCCUGGCUUCCAGGGAGUUUUGGGCGGGUCCCCGCACGGGAGCGUGGCAGGCGCUGGACUCGACAGCAGAUGUGGAACUGGAGAGCUUGGCGCGCCCUCAUACUUUGUCACACACCUACGCCACCAGACUGGGGUCGGGCCCCUCCGCGUUCUGCUCUGGAGGGCCUGGGUCUGGGCCCAGCAUAGCGCUUUUAGAAUCUCCUCAGCUGAAUCUGACGCUCAGCCGUAGGUGAAGCUUAGCCCGCUGUUUCAGGCCCCGCCGAUCUGGAAGGAGUGUCAGAGCUGGAGCGCGCGUGGCCUCAUCGGUGUUGGGGUCACCCCGGGGUUGCCAGGGCUCAUGGAGGGUCGUAGUCUGGAUUUUGUCACCCCCACGUCCCCGCCCCGCAGCAAGUCUGGGGUUGGAGAACUCACGCGGUCUUCGUAAGCUACAUGCCAGUUGACCCUCGAGGAGGGAUGCUCCCUCCCCUUAAGCGUCCACGCUGGAGAAGGGGCUGGAAUGCAAUGGUGAGAUCUAGGCUCCGCUUCUCAGGUUCAAGUGAUUCUCCUGCCUCAGCCUCCUGAGUAAGCUGGGAAUACAGGCGCCCGCCACCACGCCCAGGUAAUUUUUGUAUGUUUAGUAGAGACAGGGUUUCGCCAUAUUGGCGAGGCUUGUCUCAAACUCCUGACCUCAGGUGAUCCACCCACCUCCAAAAGUGUUGGGAUUACAGGCAUCACCCACCACGCGUGACCAGCUUUUAUACAUUUUUAAAUGAUAAAGACAGGUUAAUAAAAUGUAUAAUAUUAUGUUGCUAUAUCCAAAAAAAGGCCUUCUUUGAUUACACUAUCAAAAGUUACCUCUCCAUCUACAUCCCCAUUACUAUCUCAUUAACCUGUUUUAUUCAUAGCACUUACUACCAUCUAAAAUGACUUUAUUUCUUUAUAUUUUUGUUUGCUACCUGUCUUUUACACCAGAAUUUAAUUUUUAAGCUUUUUUUGUUUGUUUGUUUGUUUGUUUUGAGAUGGAGUCUUGCUCUGUUGCCCAGACUGGAGUGCAGUGGUGCGAUCUCAGCUCACUGCAACCUCUGCCUCCUGGGUUCAAUCAAUCCUCCUGCCUCAGCCUCCCAAGUAGCUGGGAUUACAGGCAUGUGCCACCAUGCCCAGCUAAUUUUUGCAUUUUUAGUACAGCAGGGUUUCACCAUGUUGGUCAAGCUGGUCUCAAACUCCUGACCUCAGGAGAUCCGUCAGCCUUGGCCUCCCAAAGUGUUGGGAUUACAGGCGUGAGCCACAGCACCCAGCCAGAAUUUAAACUUUAUAAGAGAUUUCCUGUCUUGUUCAUACUUAUAUACCUGCAGCUUCGAAACAUAUAUAUAUGUUUAAUAUAUAUAAUAGAUAUAUUUUAAAUUAUAUAUAGAGAGAUGGAGUUUCACUCUUGUUGCCCAGACUGGAGUGCAAUGGCGUGAUCUCGGCUCACCACAACCUCUGCCCCCCGGGUUCAAGCAAUUCUCCUGCCUCAGCCUCCAGAGUAGUUGGAAUUACAGGCACGUGCCACCAUGCCUGGCUAAUUUUGUAUUUUUAGUAGAGACAGAGUUUCUCCAUGUUGGUCAGGCUGGUCUCGAGCUCUUGACCUCAGGUAGUCUGCCUGCCUCGGCCUCACAAAGUGCUGGGAUUACAAGCAUGAGUCACUGUGCCCUGCCAGAAUUUAAGCUUUAUAAGAGAUUUCCUGUCUGUUUAUACUUAAAUACCUGCAGCUUGGAAACAUAUAUAUGUUUAUAUGUAUAUAUUACAUACAUUAUAUAUAUAUUUUUAUAUAUUAUAAUUAUAAACUCCUGACCUCAGGUGAUCCACCUGCCUCAGUCUCUCAAAUGCUGGGAUUACAGGCGUGAGCCACCACGCCAGGCCAGAAACAUAUUUUUAAAAAUCUUGUUUUAGAGGAAAAACAGAGUAUUUCUUUUUUUUUUUUUAUUAGAUGGAUUCUCACUCUAUUGCCCAGGCUGGAGUACAGUGGCACAAUCUUGGCUCACCGCAACCUCAGCCUCCCGGGUUCAAGCAAUUCUCCUGCCUCAGCCUCCCGAGUAGUUGGAACUAUAGGCGUGAGCCACCAUGCCCUGCUAAUUUUUGUAUUUUUAGUGCAGAUGGGGUUUCACUAUGUUGGCCAGGCUGGUCUCGAACUCCUGACCUUGUGAUCUGCCCACCUCGGCCUCCCAAAGUGCUGGGAUUACAGGUGUGAGCCACUGCGCCCGGCCUAUUUCUUCUUCUCUUUGUUUAGUUAUUAUCUAUUACUCUCAUUCCUAUGAACAUAACUUGUUUCUCCCCACUUAAUUUUUAUCAUACAUAAUUGUAGACAGUGGGCACUGUCUUCAAUUAUAGUGAAUUUAGCAGUAAAUUCACAUUAGACCAACUUGUAUAGCUUUAAAAAAUAUAUUUAUGUCUAGGUUCCACCCUUGACCAACUAAGUCAGAACUUGGGUGGGUUCAAGGUUCAUUAUUCUUUGAAGAUAAGAUGAUGUUUGAAUAAAAUUCCUGGUGAUUCUGGUAUCAAAAAUACAAAUUUGGGACAUACUUUUUCUGCUGUAAAAAUAUUUUCCUAAGGCCAGGCGCAGUGGCUCACGCCUGUAAUCCUAGCACUUUGGGAGACGGAGGCGGCGGAUCACUUGAGGCCAGGAGUUCAAGACCAGUCUGGCCAACAUGGUGAAACCCAGUCUCUACUAAAAAUAGAAAAAAUUAGCCAGGCAUGGUGGCACGUGCCUGUAGUCCCAGCUACUCAAGAGGCUGAGGCAGGAGAAUCCUUUGAACCCGGGAGGCAGAGGUUGCAGUGAGCCGAUAUUGCAGCACUGCACUCCAGCCUGGGUGACAGAUCAAAACUCUGUCUCAGAAAAAAAAAAAAAAAAAAAAAGAAUUUCCUAGAAUUAGAAUCGCAGGGGUUUUUUUUGUUUUGUUUGUUUGUUUGUUUGUUUGUUUUUGAGACAGAGUUUCACUCCUGUCGCCCAGGCUGGAGUGCAAUGCCAUGAUCUCGGCUCAUUGCAACCUCUGCCUCCUGAGUUCAAGCAAUCCUCCUGCCUCAGCCUCCCGAAUAGCUGGGAUUACAGGCACCUGCCACCAUGCCCAGCUAAUUUUUGUAUUUUUAGUAGAGACUGGGUUUUACCAUGUUGGCCAAGCUGGUCUCGAACUCCUGACGUCAGGUGAUCCACCCAGCUCAUUCUCCCAAAGUGCUGGAAUUACAAGCAUGAGCCACUGCACUCGGCCUUUAUUUAUUUAUUUAUUUUUGAGAUGAAGUCUUGCUCUGUUGCCCAAGCUGGAGUGCAAUGGCAUGAUCUCGGCUCACUGCAACCUCCACCUCCCAGGUUCAAGCAAUUCUCCUGCCUCAGCCCCCUGAGUAGCUGGGAUUACAGGCGUGCACCACCACGCCUGGCUAAUUUUUGUAUUUUUAGUAGAGACAGGGUUUCACUAUGUUGGUCAGGUUAGUCUCGAGCUCCUGACUUCGUGAUCCGCCCGCCUCAGCCUUCCAAAGUGUUGGGAUUACAGGCGUGAGCCACCGCGCCUGGCCAGAAUCCCAGUUUUUUAACACAUCUAAUGCUUUAGGAAUAGUAAAUGGAAACAUCAUUUCCCCUUCUUUCGAAGUACUUCUACCUUGAUGAGAUGUAUGUAUUGGAGUACAAUAUUUGACCUAGCCAAGAAUUUCACAAAAGAAGCCCAAAAUAUGAUUUUCACGUUUACUGGACUGUUCACUUUUGGUGGGAUCACUUUCUUAAGAUUACUUAAAGUACUAAUGCUUGAUGAAAAUCAUUUGUGUUUUCACUUCAUUAAUUGGAGAAAGAGCUACAUGUUUUUGUUGUUGUUGUUGUUGUUUUGAGAUGGUGUCUUGCUCUGUCUCCCAGGCUGGAGUGCAAUGGCGUGAUCUCAGCUCACUGCAACCUCCGCCUCCCGGGUUCAAGCGAUUCUCCUGCCUCAGCCUCCUGAGUAGCUGGGACUACAGGCGCCUGCCACCACGCCCAGCUAAUUUUUAUACUUUUAAUAGAGACAGGGUUUCACCAUAUUGGCCAGGAUGGUCUCAAUCUCUUGACCUUGUGAUCCACCCGCCUUGGCCUCCCAAAGUGCUGGGAUUACAGGCGUGAGCCACUGCGCCCAGCCAGAGCUACAGGUUUUACUGUAACACUUUAGAAGGUCCUUUUUCUUUGUACCUCUGUGAUGUGUUCACCUAGCAACAGCUUCUUUGAUAUGCAAACAUUCUACAGGCAAAUUGCUCAGAGCAGCUACUCAUGUUGGACAAUUCAGGUCUCUUCUGGAAACUGGCCUUGUAUUUGGAAUUUUCUCCAGAGUCUGAUGUGGUAAAAAUUUAUACUUUUCACUUCUUACUAAAUGCAGCAUAGCAUACUACAUCUUUUGAGUGUGUAAAAAAUAAAGUAGUCAUGUACAAACCUAAAAUCACAGAAUAAUCAUGUAACGGUGCUAUAUUUUAUUUUUACUUUAGAUUCCUAAUACAUUUUUAUUGUAUCUUUAUAAGGUUAGUUUGGGAGAAUAGCACUAUCAUCAUCUAUAUUAGUUAACUUUGCAUUAAGGUUUUUCAUUAAGGUUUUUCCCCUGUUUGGUUCUUUCAUUUUACGAUCCAUAUUUUUUGUGCCUGGUAUGGGAUGAUAAAGAUAACAGAAAUAGCUCCUGUUUUUAGGUACCUUUAUUUGUUUGUUUGUUUGGAGACAGGGUCUUACUCUGUCACCCAGGCUGGUGGCACAAUCAUAGCUUACUACAGACUAACUCCUGGCUCAAGCCAUCCUCCACCUCAGCCUCCCAAGUAACUGAGAUUACAGGUGCACACCACCACCUCUGGCUAAUUAUUAAAAUUUUCAUAGAGACAGGAUCUCACUUGGUUGGCCAGACUGAUCUCAAACUCCUGGUCUCAAGUGAUCCUCCCACCCCAGCCUCCUGAAGUACUAGGAUUGCAGGCAUGAACCACUGCCCUGGCCUAGAUACAUUUAAUGUAGUAGAGGAGAUGAGAUUUUUACAUAGUAUAAUAUUGAAUGAGACAACAGUCAAAAGAAAAUCACAUACUAUAAGAGAAGAGAUUACCCUUACCUUUUAGGAAUCAAGAAAACUCCCUGGAGGAGAUGGUACUUGAACUUAUACUGGAGGAUUUAUAUGUUCAUCCUUCUUGGUUUAUAUUUUGUCCCACACGGUAGCUUGUUUCUUUUUUCUUUUUUUUCUUUUUCUUUUUUUUUUUUUGAGGCAGAGUUUUGCUCUGUUGCCCAGGCUAGAGUGCAGUGGCGCGAUCUCGGCUCACUGCAACCUCCACCUCCUGGGUUCAAGCGAUUCUCCUGCCUCAGCCUCCCUAGUAGCUUGUUUCUUAGAGACAGUGUGAGUGAAACUCAUUAAGUAAAGUCAAUACAGCACAAGUUUCAUAAAAUGGUAAAGAAAUAGAAAUAAAAGUAAAGGAUGAAAUUCUUAAGAACUUUGUCAGGCCAGGCGUGGUGGCUCAUGCCUGUAAUCCCAGCACUUUGGGAGGCCGAGGUGGGUGGAUCACCUGAGGUCAGGAGUUUGAGACCAGCCUGGCCAACAUGGCAAAACCCUGUCUCUCUAAAAAUACAAAAAUUAGCUGGGCAUGCUGGCGGGUGCCUAUAAUCCCAGCUACUCGGGAGGCUGAGGCAGGAGAAUCGCUUGAACCCAGGAGGCGGAGGUUGCAGUGAGCCGAGAUCACAUCAUUCCACUCCAGCCUGGGUGCCAAGAGCAAAAAACUCCAUCUUGAAAAAUAAAGAACUUUGUCUCCAGUAUCAUUCUUGUUCUAGGACUGAGAAACAGUUCAUUCUUCAUUUUCGUCUACUAAAAUUUAAGUUCUUUGAUUUUCUUCUUUAGGUCUUGGAAAAAGAAUUAAUAGAGUAAUUUUCUUAGGUAUCAAGUAAUGAAAAUGAGAAAAGAGACUAGUCUCAUUAUAGAUUUUUUUUUUUAUUCUUAUUUUAUUUUAUUUGAGACAAGGUCUCGCUCUGUCACCCAGGCUGGAGUGUAGUGGCUCCAUUAUGGUUCCCUGCAGCCUUGAACUCAGGGGCCCAAGCAAUCCUCCCACCUCAGCAUCCCGAGCAGCUGGGACUACAGGUGCAUGCCACCAUGCCUGGCUAAUUUUUGUGCUUUUUCGUGUAUAAAGAUGAGAUUUCGCCAUGUUGCCCAGGCUGGUCUCAAACUCCUGGGCUCAAGAGAUCUGUCCACCUCAGCCUCCUAAAGCGCUGAGAUUACAGGCAUGAGCCACCACGUCCAGCCUAGAGAUAUUUAUACUUUAAUAGCUGCCUGCAAUACCAAUACACCUAGAAUGAAUUAGAAGAAUUUGAAAACAGAUUUCAGGAUUAGUAAAAGAAAGUCAAGCCCUAUGCCUCCUGUUCUACAUUCCUCAAAUCACAUAAUCCUGAUUUUUUCCUCUUCGUAUGAAAAUUCCUCUCAUUUUGGGCCUGUUUGAUUUUUUGGGAGACACCACCCAGCAGAAACACACCGCACUUACAUGCAACCCCUCCAUUGCACAGUUUCUAAAUGCCCCCCCGCUUUUUUUUCCAUUCUCUGAUCCUAAAAAAAGAAAUCCAGUGGCACAAUCACGGAUCUCUGCAGCCUUGAUCUCUUAGCCUCAAGUGAUUCUCCUGCCUCAGCUUCCUGAGUAGCUGGGACCACAGGUGCUUGCCACCAUGCCCAGCUAUUUUUUUUUCUUUGUUUUUUUGUAAAGAUGUGUCUCACUAUCUUGCCCAGGCUGAUAUUGAAUUCCUGGGCUCAAGUGAUCCUCCUACCUUGGCCUCCCAAAGUGCUGGGAUUUUAUAUAUAUAUAUAUAUAUAUAUAUAUAUAUAUAUAUAUUUCCAUUUUACUUAUGUUAAUGCUUUCCCUCUUUUGGCAUAGAAAAGCUAAUAAAGCUUAAACUUAAAUGGAACUUGUAUAAACACAAUAUAUCUGAUGAUACCUUUGAGAGAUGUCUUACAUUUGUCUUUUCUUUCAGCAAAAUGUGAUGCCAGUCCCUGAAAUGUGUAGCAAUUUAAUUAUGGGUAGCAUUCUUCUUUCCCUGUACUUACUAUAGUAUUAACUUACUACUAAUGCUAAGAAGUUUAUAAUUUUUGAUAAUUCAGAUUUGGAUUAGAUUAAGAUUUAUGUCUAUGCAUAAUUCAUUAAAAACUUUUUAAACCAAAUUGUCAAAAAAGAUUGUAGGUACCUUGUUUAAAGAAAAUAUAUAAGCUAGUUUCAAGAAUUCCAAAAUAUUUUUUAAAAGCAGCUCUGUACAUGUCGAUAAAUUAUUUGCUCAUUGUAAUUUUUUGAAUCUGUUUGUCAAAGCAAAUGUAGACGGGCUCGAACUCCUGACCUCAAAUGAUCCACCCGCCUCAGUCUCCCAAAUGCUGGUAUUACAGGCAUGAGCCACUGCUCAUGGCCUGUUAUCAUUUUUAAUUGAAAAUUUUACUGAGAUAAUUGUAGAUUCACUUGCCAUUAUAAGAAAUAAUUCAGAGAUAUCACUUGUAUACUUAGCCCAGUGUCCCCCAAAGGUAAAAUUUUGCAAAAUUAUAGUCUAAUGUAACAGCGUGAAUAUUGACAUUAAUACAAUCCACUGAGUUUAUUCAGAUUUCCCCAGUUUUACUUGUAUUCAAUUGUGUGUUUGUGUAUUAAGUUCGAUAUAACUAGUCAAUAUACUGAACAGUUCUAACAUCACAAGUAUCCUUCAGGUAGCCCUUUUGUAUCCACAUCCACUUCCUUCUCAUCCCCAACUAUUGACAACCACUAAUCCCUUUUCCAUUUCUAAAAUGUGAUUUCAAAAAUGUUACAUACUUGGCUGGGGGCGGUGGCUCAUGCCUGUAAUCCCAGCACUUUGGAUAUACGGUCUCUACUAAAAAUACAAAAAUUAGCUGGGAGUGGUUGUGCACACCUGUAAUCCCAGGUGCUUGGGAAGCUGAGGCAGGAGAAUUGCUUGAACCCAGGAGGCAGAGCUUGCAGUGAGCCGAGAGUGUGCCACUUCACUCCAGCCUGGGCAACAGAGUGAGACUCUGUUUCAAAAAUAAAUAAAUAAAUAAAUAAAAUGGUCUUCAUACAGCCUUUGCUGCUAGGAAAUAUAGUUUCUAAUUAAUGUAAUUUUUUGUCAAAUACAAAAUGCUUCUGAACGUUUCUGGUUAUCAAGCUGGUAAUCUUUCACAGUGUCCUCAAUUUUUUUUUCUACUCUCUUACUAGUUCUCCAGAUCACAUGCAGGCUAUUAAGAAAUGUGAACUAACAAGUUAAAGUAGCAGGACGGGCGCUGUGGCUCACACCUAUAAUCCCAGCACUUUGGGAAGCUGAGGCAGGUGGAUCACUUGAGGUCAGGAGUUUGAGAGCAGCCUGGCCAACAAGGUGAAACCACAUCUCUACUAAAAAAAAAAAAAAUUUGCCAGGUGUGGUGGUGCAUACCUGUAAUCCUAGCUAUUUGGGAGGCUGAGGCAUGAGAAUCGCUUGAACCCAGGAGGCAGAGGCUGCGGGGAGCCAGGAUCAUAGCACUGCACUCCAGCCUGGGUGACAGAGCUAGACCCUGUCUGAAAAAAAAAAAAAAUGUUAGUAGCAGCAGAGCACAGUGGCUCAUGCCUGUAAUCCCAACACUAUGGGAGUCUGAGGCGGGAGGAUCUCUUGAGCUUAGGAGUUCAAGACCAGCCUGACAACAUAGUAAGACUCCAUCUCUACAAAUAAUCAUUAAAAAAAUUAGCCGGGCGUAGUGGCACCUACCUGUAGUCCCAGCUACUGGGGAGGCUGAGAUGGGAGGAUCACCUGGGCCUGGGAGGUCAAGGCUGCAGUGAGCUGUGAUCGCCAUUGUACUCCAAACUGGGUGACAAGAGUGAGACCAUGCCUCAAAAAUAAUAAU